rnacentral:rRNA from 1 species
CUCGGGGAUAGCCUUUCGAAAGAAAGAUUAAUACCCGAUGGCAUAGUUCUUCCGCAUGGUAGAACUAUUAAAGAAUUUCGGUCAUCGAUGGGGAUGCGUUCCAUUAGCUUGUUGGCGGGGUAACGGCCCACCAAGGCAUCGAUGGAUAGGGGUUCUGAGAGGAAGGUCCCCCACAUUGGAACUGAGACACGGUCCAAACUCCUACGGGAGGCAGCAGUGAGGAAUAUUGGUCAAUGGGCGCUAGCCUGAACCAGCCAAGUAGCGUGAAGGAUGACUGCCCUAUGGGUUGUAAACUUCUUUUAUAUGGGAAUAAAGUGCAGUAUGUAUACUGCUUUGCAUGUACCUUAUGAAUAAGGAUCGGCUAACUCCGUGCCAGCAGCCGCGGUAAUACGGAGGAUCCGAGCGUUAUCCGGAUUUAUUGGGUUUAAAGGGAGCGUAGGCGGGUUGUUAAGUCAGUUGUGAAAGUUUGCGGCUCAACCGUAAAAUUGCAGUUGAUACUGGCAUCCUUGAGUACAGUAGAGGUAGGCGGAAUUCGUGGUGUAGCGGUGAAAUGCUUAGAUAUCACGAAGAACUCCGAUUGCGAAGGCAGCCUGCUGGACUGUAACUGACGCUGAUGCUCGAAAGUGUGGGUAUCAAACAGGAUUAGAUACCCUGGUAGUCCACACAGUAAACGAUGAAUACUCGCUGUUUGCGAUAUACAGUAAGCGGCCAAG